UUCUACGGUCAUACUACUCUAAACGACUUGAUCUCGGAUGCUAAGCAGGAUCAGGCCUGGUUAAUACUUGAAUGGGAGACCACCUGGAAAUACCACGUGCUGUAAGGU
ensembl:rRNA 5S_rRNA 5S ribosomal RNA